CUCUGAGACGCUCAAAAGAGAUGGGGAUGGAGUCGUUGUUAUCUCUCGUGAUGGUGGUGUUCUAUGGUCUACUCUUUUGUCCGGGCUGGUGCGAGACCUAUCAUCAUGUCUUCUAUGUUGGCUUGAAGAUGCUGCUCUUUUUGCUGCAAUUGACCGGAGUGUUGAUAAAUUCUCCUGGUAUGGCUGGCCUGAACCUUUAAAAAAUCGCCACCACCUUUGCGCCUUGGAAGACAUAUAUCAAAACCACAAGGAUUUUACAGACAUAUUUUAUUGCUCAACAAUUUUUAUUUCAAAGGCAAGGGCAAAGAGUUCGCAGGUAUGCUAAGAAGUUGGGAAUCAAGAUUAUGGGUGACAUGCCUAUUUAUGUCGGCUGUCACAGUGCUGAUGUUUGGGCAAACAAAAAAUUAUUUUUGCUGGAUAGGAGUGGCUUUCCAAUUCUUGUUGGUGGUGUUCCUCCUGAUGCCUUCAGUGAAACAGAUCAGCUAUGGGAUAGGUUGAAACUCAUGGACCAAAAGUUGCUUCAGUAUUUUUCAUUUUCUUAGACUAAUAGCUCAAAUAAAUAGGACAGCCUCCAUUGUGGAAGGCAUUAAGCUCUAUCUUGGGAGCAUGUCAAGCACAGCUAUGAACAAAACCUCCUGUCAUUUUUAUCA